GGAGGAGUAAUCAAGCCCGGCCAAAGCGGGCACGCGGUGCCCUUGGAAAUGCAGGACUUAAGAUCAUACAUGGGUGAUCCUGUCUCUUAGGAGUUCGUGGGUUCAAAUCCCACCUCCUCCA
rnacentral:tRNA from 2 species